rnacentral:rRNA from 1 species
UACGUAGGGUGCGAGCGUUGUCCGGAAUUAUUGGGCGUAAAGAGCUCGUAGGCGGCUUGUCGCGUCGGAUGUGAAAGCCCGGGGCUUAACUCCGGGUCUGCAUUCGAUACGGGCUAGCUAGAGUGUGGUAGGGGAGAUCGGAAUUCCUGGUGUAGCGGUGAAAUGCGCAGAUAUCAGGAAGAACACCCGUGGCGAAGGCGGCUCUCUGGGACGGUACUGACGCUGAGACGCGAAAGCGUGGGGAGCGAACAGG